rfam:Triticum aestivum genome assembly, contig: Triticum_aestivum_CS42_TGACv1_scaffold_289851_4AL
GUCGUACUCCCUCCGUCCGUAAAUACUUGUCAUCGAAAUGGAUAAAAAUGGGUGUAUCUAGAACUAAAAUACAUCUGGAUACAUCACUUUUUAUUCAUCUUGAUGACAAGUAUUUCUGGACGGAGCGAGUAGUAU